rnacentral:rRNA from 1 species
UACGGAGGGUGCAAGCGUUGUUCGGAAUCACUGGGCGUAAAGGGCGUGUAGGCGGUCCGCUAAGUCUGAUGUGAAAUCCCGGGGCUCACCCCCGGAAGGGCAUUGGAAACUGGCGGACUCGAGUCUCGGAGAGGAAGGUGGAAUUCCUGGUGUAGCGGUGAAAUGCGUAGAUAUCAGGAGGAAUACCGGUGGCGAAGGCGGCCUUCUGGGCGAUGACUGACGCUGAGACGCGAAAGCGUGGGGAGCAAACAGG